GUCGACGACGGAUAAUGCGACGGGCACGGUGUCGCGUGCGGCGCGCCAUUUCCGGCCAGUUCGCGAUUUCGUAACGCGGACUACCGUAUUUUCGGGCGGACGAAGCGCGACAUUUUCAAGUGCCCGGUAUGACCAAGCCGCCGCCGCCGCCGCCGUCGUCAACGUUACCGGCCCCGGGGCUGUGGCCGGAUUGCUUUUGCACCGUGACCGCGGGGCUGCGGAGAGAAACCGCCGGGACCCGAAGGGCGAAACUGGUACUUCCUAAUGUCGAAUGUUCUGGCCGACGUACAGCGUCGUCCUUUGAAAAACGGGCGUAACGAAAUCGGUGUUCAAAGUUGAAGUAUAAAAGUGCGAGUGUCGUUGAAGCCCGAGCCCCGGGGCUACGGCCCACAGUCCCGGCUGUCCAUCUCUCGUCGGGCCUGUCCGAGCGGAACGACGUAUCAGCUGGUUUUGCUACGGUGUCUGCGUGUGUUUGGGUUUUAUGCCCGUGAGCAAAUCUCGUACAGAAAACGUGCUCCGGUGUAUUAAGCGUCCUCUCUGAAAGGAAAUUCCUAUCCAAUUUGUGCAUUUUUUGAUUUUUCCAAGGAGUUUUCGUGAUAAUUGUGAAAAACCGGGAAAAAAAGAGCCGAUACUGGGGACGAGUAUGCCUAGACGCGUGUAAAGGGGGGGGGAUAACCCUCCCUCACCGAAAUUUUAUAAAAAUUAUGGUGAAAGUAGAUUUUUAAUACAGUCUCAAAAGUGGUUUCUGUCAAGGAAGAAUUGUACCACCUUGUUUUUUUUUUUUUAUUGACCUUUAUUUGUUGUAGAUAUUAUUGUAGAAUUAUUGUAUGGUAGGAUAACUCGGAAUAUAAAUAAUGAAAUUUUACGCAUUAAACAAUUGUUGUUUUUUUUGUAUUGUGAUUAUUAUGAUUUCACAUGUGAAUUCUUGCGGUCAUAAUUGUUGGUCGACCACACAAAAAAGAGAAUUAUGUGACAGCCUUUAUGGUGUAAAUUGUUGGCCCGGACAU